UGGGGGAUAUUGCACAAUGGAGGAAACUCUGAUGCAGCAACGCCGCGUGAGGGAAGAAGGUCUUCGGAUUGUAAACCUUUGUUUUUGGUGACGAACAAAUGACGGUAGCCAAAGAGGAAGCCACGGCUAACUACGUGCCAGCAGCCGCGGUAAUACGUAGGUGGCAAGCGUUGUCCGGAUUUACUGGGUGUAAAGGGAGCGCAGGCGGGACAGCAAGUUGGAUGUGAAAUACCGGAGCUUAACUCCGGAGCUGCAUCCAAAACUGUUGUUCUUGAGUGAAGUAGAGGUUGGCGGAAUUCCGAGUGUAGCGGUGAAAUGCGUAGAUAUUCGGAGGAACACCAGUGGCGAAGGCGGCCAACUGGGCUUUAACUGACGCUGAGGCUCGAAAGCAUGGGGAGCAAACA
rnacentral:rRNA from 1 species